rnacentral:rRNA from 6 species
GCGCGGUGGUCCCACCUGACCCCAUGCCGAACUCAGAAGUGAAACGCCGUAGCGCCGAUGGUAGUGUGGGGUCUCCCCAUGCGAGAGUAGGGAACUGCCAGAC